UGCAUAUAAUUAUAUAUGCCCUUCGCCAGCCUCCGCGGCUUUCUCUCUCUUCAAACUCCGCUCCAAUUUCUUCCUCAUCUCUCUCCACCAACACUCCUCUCAACUCGUACGAAGCAGCCUCUCUGCCUAUCUGUAUCAUUUGCUGCCUCAGCUAUGGAUUCACAAUCGCCUUGUCUUCUGGUAUUAUUUGGAAAAUCAUCUACUGAGAAGGAAUUGGCUAAAUCAUUGAAGGACAAUAACAGUCUGAAACUCCCUGACAAUGACAAAUUUUCGAUUCUUUUGCACUCAGAGACUAGAAUUCCUGUUGAAGAAAAUUGUUUUCGGAACAAUUCAUUUUUGAAUUGUCUUUCAACUACUCGCUUUGGAAGAUUCUUGAUUUGGUCUCCGCAGUUGCCAUCAACUCAUGAUGCUGUUUCCCACAAUUUCGGCGAGCUUCCUAUUGGUGCGGUGUGUGUUGCUGAUGUUCAGUUCAAAGGGCGAGGUCGGUCAAAGAAUGUGUGGGAAUCUCCAAGGGGCUGCCUUCUGUUUUCAUAUACUAUACAAAUGGAAGAUGGCCGAGUGGUGCCUAUUGUACAGUAUGUAGUGUCUCUUGCCAUGACAGAGGCAAUUAAGGAUGUUUGUCAUAAAAAUGGCAUACCACAUCUUGAUGUUAGAAUAAAGUGGCCAAAUGAUCUGUACUUGGAUGGCCUUAAAGUUGGAGGCAUUUUGUGCACAUCAACUUAUAAAUCAAAGAAGUUUAAUAUCAGUGCCGGAAUAGGCUUGAAUAUUGACAAUGAAAAGCCUACAACAUGCUUGAAUGCAGUGUUGCAAAAAUUGACUUCUGUUACAUACCGACUACAGAGAGAAGAUAUUCUUGCAGCCUUCUUUAAUAAAUUUGAGACUCUUUUUGAUCUUUUCAUCGAUAAAGGGUUUCAACCUCUUGAGCAGCUGUACUAUGAGACAUGGCUACACAGUGGGCAGAGAGUUAUUGUACAGGAAAAGGACGAGGAUCGAUUUGUUGAAAAAACAGUUACUAUUCAGGGCUUAACGUCUUCAGGAUAUUUAUUAGCCGUUGGUGAAGACGGUCAAAUGUGUGAGCUUCAUCCAGAUGGCAAUAGUGUCAUUUUCUGGUCUUCCAUGAGCCCAAUAUUUUCAAAACCGGACUGGAUAGAUCAUUCUAGCUUCCUGUUUGGGAACAGCGCAUGAGCCGACCACGUUUGUCCUCCUUUAACCAGAGGGUUCCCAGGUGGGGUUUCAGUUGCCAUUUUUGAAAAGAGAAUACCUGGAUUGGACCAGUUAUUUAUGUCCCUUUGGGCUUGUUGUUUUCAGAGUUUUGACUUCUUCAAAGGGCUAGUGAGGAGAAAAUUGACCUAAAGUAGGUUUGACGAGGCAACAAUCAUACUUCACCAAGUGCAUACUGAGGAUAUGUAUUUUCUUUUCCUUUUCAUUUUUGCUUAGAUACAUGAUCAAUUUAUUAGGUCAUUUAGUUGUGUUUGGUUGAAGAGAUUUGAGAAGGAAUUUAAAAAAGAAAAGGAAAAAGGUAUAUGAAAUUAAGUAAAAUGUAAGUAUAUUUUAUAUUCUGAGUCAAAUGAGAUCUGGGUCAAACUCAAUCAAGCCUGUCUUUUAUUUA